UACGUAGGUGGCAAGCGUUGUCCGGAAUUACUGGGCGUAAAGCGUGCGCAGGCGGUUCGUUGUGUCGGCGGUGAAAUCCCCGGGCUCAACCUGGGAAUGGCCGUUGAAACUGGCGAACUGGAGUGUGGCAGAGGGGGGUGGAAUUCCGCGUGUAGCAGUGAAAUGCGUAGAGAUGCGGAGGAACACCGAUGGCGAAGGCAGCCCCCUGGGCUGACACUGACGCUCAGGCACGAAAGCGUGGGGAGCAAACAGG
rnacentral:rRNA from 1 species